GGAGGGAUCGCAUAGAGGCCCAGUGCGCGAAUCUGGAAAGUUCGUUGGGGAGUAAUCCCCUCGCGGGUUCGAAUCCCGCUCCCUCCG
rnacentral:tRNA from 1 species